GAUGAACGCUAGCGGCAGGCUUAACACAUGCAAGUCGAGGGGCAGCACGUCUUCGGAUGGUGGCGACCGGCGCACGGGUGCGUAACGCGUAUAGAACCUACCUUUUACAGGGGAAUAGCCCAGAGAAAUUUGGAUUAAUGCCCCAUAGUAUUAUUGAAUGGCAUCAUUUAAUAAUUAAACAUUUAUGGGUAAAAGAUGGCUAUGCGUUCUAUUAGCUAGUAGGUAAGGUAACGGCUUACCUAGGCAACGAUAGAUAGGGGUCCUGAGAGGGAGAUCCCCCACACUGGUACUGAGACACGGACCAGACUCCUACGGGAGGCAGCAGUGAGGAAUAUUGGACAAUGGGCGAGAGCCUGAUCCAGCCAUGCCGCGUGCAGGAAGACGGUCCUAUGGAUUGUAAACUGCUUUUUAUACAGGAAGAAACACUCGGACGUGUCCGAGCUUGACGGUACUGUAUGAAUAAGCACCGGCUAACUCCGUGCCAGCAGCCG
rnacentral:rRNA from 1 species